GACGAACGCUGGCGGCGUGCCUAAUACAUGCAAGUAGAACGCUGAAGAGAGGAGCUUGCUCUUCUUGGAUGAGUUGCGAACGGGUGAGUAACGCGUAGGUAACCUGCCUUGUAGCGGGGGAUAACUAUUGGAAACGAUAGCUAAUACCGCAUAACAAUGGACGACACAUGUCAUUUAUUUGAAAGGGGCAAUUGCUCCACUACAAGAUGGACCUGCGUUGUAUUAGCUAGUAGGUGAGGUAAUGGCUCACCUAGGCGACGAUACAUAGCCGACCUGAGAGGGUGAUCGGCCACACUGGGACUGAGACACGGCCCAGACUCCUACGGGAGGCAGCAGUAGGGAAUCUUCGGCAAUGGGGGCAACCCUGACCGAGCAACGCCGCGUGAGUGAAGAAGGUUUUCGGAUCGUAAAGCUCUGUUGUAAGUCAAGAACGGGUGUGAGAGUGGAAAGUUCACACUGUGACGGUAGCUUACCAGAAAGGGACGGCUAACUACGUGCCAGCAGCCGCGGUAAUACGUAGGUCCCGAGCGUUGUCCGGAUUUAUUGGGCGUAAAGCGAGCGCAGGCGGUUUGAUAAGUCUGAAGUUAAAGGCUGUGGCUCAACCAUAGUUCGCUUUGGAAACUGUCAAACUUGAGUGCAGAAGGGGAGAGUGGAAUUC
rnacentral:rRNA from 1 species